AUGGCCGGUGCACCCCCGGGGGGCUUCGUAUCGAGUCGCUCUGGACAAAGCUGGGAAACACAGUCCAGAGAGCAUCAGCCCACGGCCCCUGAAGUACAGAGCUCCACCAUCUAUCCAAGACCUCCAAUAAAUGUGCUGGACCCACUGUUGUCCCAGGAUGUGGCGUCAACGCCUAGUCUCCCCAGAGGGCCAGUUUCAAUUAAGAGUGGUGGACACCUGGACAAAGUUGAAGUAUAUGAGUACAGUAAGGAUGACUAUUUGAUAAUCAGUGAUGGAUGA
rnacentral:lncRNA from 1 species